UACGUAGGCAGCGAGCGUUGUUCGGAAUUACUGGGCGUAAAGGGUGAGUAGGUGGUGCUAUAAGUUCGGUGUGAAAUCUCCCGGCUCAACUGGGAGGGUGCGCCGAAAACUGUGGCGCUCGAGUGUGGGAGAGGUAAGCGGAAUUCCUGGUGUAGCGGUGAAAUGCGUAGAUAUCAGGAGGAACACCGGCGGUGUAGACGGCUUACUGGACCAUUACUGACACUGAAUCACGAAAGUGUGGGUAGCAAACAGG
rnacentral:rRNA from 1 species